UACGGGGGGGAGCAAGCGUUUGUUCGGAUUUACUGGGCGUAAAGGGCGGGUAGGCGGCCACCGCAAGUCGACUGUGAAAUCUCCGGGCUUAACCCGGAAAGGUCAGCCGAUACUGCGGGGCUAGAGUGCAGAAGGGGCAACUGGAAUUCUCGGUGUAGCGGUGAAAUGCGUAGAUAUCUGGAGGAACACCGGUGGCGAAGGCGACAUCCUGGACCGGUAUUGACGCUGAGGCGCGAAAGCCAGGGGAGCAAAGCGGGG
rnacentral:rRNA from 1 species